rnacentral:rRNA from 1 species
GGCUGUCGUCAGNUGGGGCCNUAAAGUGUUGGGUUAAGUCCCGNAACGAGGGCAACCCCUGUGGUUAGUUGCCAGCAGUUCGGCUGGGCACUCUAAUCAGACUGCCGUAGAAGAUCCGGAGGAAGGUGGGGAUGACGUCAAGUCAUCAUGCCCUUUAUGCCUUGGGCGACACACGCGCUACAAUGGCAUGCACAGACAGGAGCGAAGCCGUGAGGUGGAGCGAAUCUGAGAAAACAUGCCUCAGUACAGAUUGCAGGCUGAAACCCGCCUGCAUGAAGUCGGAAUCGCUAGUAAUCGCG